UACAGAGGUCUCAACCGUUGUUCGGAUUCAUUGGGCGUAAAGGGCGGGUAGGCGGCCACCGCAAGUCGACUGUGAAAUCUCCGGGCUUAACCCGGAAAGGUCAGCCGAUACUGCGGGGCUAGAGUGCAGAAGGGGCAACUGGAAUUCUCGGUGUAGCGGUGAAAUGCGUAGAUAUCGAGAGGAACACCUGCGGCGAAGGCGGGUUGCUGGGCUGACACUGACGCUGAACUGCGAAAGCUAGGGGAGCGAACGGG
rnacentral:rRNA from 1 species